UGUCAUGGUCAAGAAAUCCUAUGUGCCUUUGCGGUGCCUGCCCCACAUGCAGUAGCGAGGGCAGCUGUGGAUCCUAUGGCCUGUUUUCAUGACAACAGUGACUAUCAGUGGCCACAGUGACCAGUGGAAUUUUCACUCUUUAUUGUCCGAUAUCAUCGUGGAUUUAGUCUGCAUGGUUGAUUUUUGCAGGCCCAGACAGAUCAUCAUUAAUUUUAAUUCCCUUGGGACAGCAAAUGCCAUUGGUGAUACCAGUGGUGAUGUGAUUGCGCGCCUUGCCUGUACAAAAUUAAGUUUCUAUAAUCUGAUGUAUGCCUGGAAUCCGUGACGAUGCUGUCCAUCAGUGUUCAAGAUGGCUAAUUAUCCCAAGAUGGCUGGUGACAACACAAGAUUUUGGGGAUCACUGCCCUAAUCCUUCACCAAAUCCUUCAAGACCCACUUGAGGUACAAAGUAUAUGUCAUUUAUACAUUGAGUAUGGGAUAUCCUGAGUUUUGCAGAAUACUG
rnacentral:lncRNA from 1 species